UACGUAGGGACCGAGCGUUGUCCGGAUUCAUUGGGCGUAAAGAGCUCGUAGGCGGCUGCUCAAGUCGAAUGUGAAACCUCGAGGCUUAACCUCGAGCCUGCAUUCGAUACUGGGCGGCUAGAGUCUGGUAGGGGGAUCUGGAAUUCCUGGUGUAGCGGUGGAAUGCGCAGAUAUCAGGAGGAACACCGGUGGCGAAGGCGGGAUCCUGGGCCAGUACUGACGCUGAGGCGCGAAAGCUAGGGGAGCGAACAGG
rnacentral:rRNA from 1 species